rnacentral:rRNA from 1 species
AUUUACUUCGGUAAUGACGUUGGGAAAGCGAGCGGCGGAUGGGUGAGUAACACGUGGGGAACCUGCCCCUAAGUCUGGGAUACCAUUUGGAAACAGGUGCUAAUACCGGAUAAUAAAGCAGAUCGCAUGAUCAGCUUUUGAAAGGCGGCGUAAGCUGUCGCUAAGGGAUGGCCCCGCGGUGCAUUAGCUAGUUGGUAAGGUAACGGCUUACCAAGGCGACGAUGCAUAGCCGAGUUGAGAGACUGAUCGGCCACAUUGGGACUGAGACACGGCCCAAACUCCUACGGGAGGCAGCAGUAGGGAAUCUUCCACAAUGGACGCAAGUCUGAUGGAGCAACGCCGCGUGAGUGAAGAAGGUUUUCGGAUCGUAAAGCUCUGUUGUUGGUGAAGAAGGAUAGAGGCAGUAACUGGCCUUUAUUUGACGGUAAUCAACCAGAAAGUCACGGCUAACUACGUGCCAGCAGCCGCGGUAAUACGUAGGUGGCAAGCGUUGUCCGGAUUUAUUGGGCGUAAAGCGAGCGCAGGCGGAAAAAUAAGUCUAAUGUGAAAGCCCUCGGCUUAACCGAGGAAUUGCAUCGGAAACUGUUUUUCUUGAGUGCAGAAGAGGAGAGUGGAACUCCAUGGGUUACCGGUG